rnacentral:rRNA from 1 species
CCUACGGGAGGCAGCAGUGGGGAAUAUUGCACAAUGGGCGCAAGCCUGAUGCAGCCAUGCCGCGUGUAUGAAGAAGGCCUUCGGGUUGUAAAGUACUUUCAGCGAGGAGGAAGGUGCUGUGGUUAAUAACCGCAGCAAUUGACGUUACUCGCAAAAAAGAUGGCUAA